CUACGGGGGGCACCAGUGGGGAAUAUUGCACAAUGGGCGCAAGCCUGAUGCAGCCAUGCCGCGUGUAUGAAGAAGGCCUUCGGGUUGUAAAGUACUUUCAGCAGGGAGGAAGGGAGUAAAGUUAAUACCUUUGCUCAUUGACGUUACCCGCAGAAGAAGCACCGGCUAACUCCGUGCCAGCAGCCGCGGUAAUACGGAGGGUGCAAGCGUUAAUCGGAAUUACUGGGCGUAAAGCGCACGCAGGCGGUUUGUUAAGUCAGAUGUGAAAUCCCCGGGCUCAACCUGGGAACUGCAUCUGAUACUGGCAAGCUUGAGUCUCGUGGAGGGGGGUAGAAUUCCAGGUGUAGCGGUGAAAUGCGUAGAGAUCUGGAGGAAUACCGGUGGCGAAGGCGGCCCCCUGGACGAAGACUGACGCUCAGGUGCGAAAGCGUGGGGAGCAAACAGGAUUAGAUACCCCCGUAGUC
rnacentral:rRNA from 1 species